rnacentral:rRNA from 1 species
CAGGCCUAACACAUGCAAGUCGAACGGCAGCACGGUAAGAGCUUGCUCUUAUGGGUGGCGAGUGGCGGACGGGUGAGGAAUACAUCGGAAUCUACCUUUUGGUGGGGGAUAACGUAGGGAAACUUACGCUAAUACCGCAUACGUCCUACGGGAGAAAGCAGGGGACCUUCGGGCCUUGCGCUAUCAGAUGAGCCUAGGUCGGAUUAGCUUGUUGGUGAGGUAAAGGCUCACCAAGGCGACGAUCCGUAACUGGUCUGAGAGGAUGAUCAGUCACACUGGAACUGAGACACGGUCCAGACUCCUACGGGAGGCAGCAGUGGGGAAUAUUGGACAAUGGGCGAAAGCUGAUCCAGCCAUGCCGCGUGUGUAAGAAGGUCUUCGGAUUGUAAAGCACUUUAAGUUGGGAGGAAGGGCAGUAAGUUAAUACCUUGCUGUUUUGACGUUACCGACAGAAUAAGCACCGGCUAACUUCGUGCCAGCAGCCGCGGUAAU